GUGGACCCCAGGAGACUGAGCUCAACAGCGAGGUGGUUUCCUUAUCUCAUCCCAGCUUUGCCUCUUGUCUAGGUCUCCCACACCAGCUGAAGCCGAUCAAGAGAAUCCCAGAGUGAGAAGAAGAAACUAGUAAGGAGCUUCUAAGAUCCCAAGUCCUGAUUACAUUAGGUACCACGAAGCUGUGUGAGGAGCUGGAGGCCCAAAGAUGAAUAAGGCCGAGUGUGAUAUCAGUUACCAGCCUGAUGAGAGAGGCAGAGAGACACGUCAUCUGAUGAAUGAGAAUACCCCAUAACGAGUACUAGAAUCUACUCAAUACCCAUGCCUUCCAUCACCCAUGAUUUCAUAACCCAGAUUUUUGGGGGGAUGAUACCAGAUUGACAUAGCUGAUCCUGAAGAUCUAUAAUUCAGCUUCCCGCUGACUGGAUUCUUAUCUGUUCAAGCUGCCCUGAGGAUGACCAACAGUCCCUCAUGGUCAGAAGUCUAAUGUCACUGGCCCAGUUUUGGAAGAUAUUGUACUGAAUUGUUAGUAAUAAAGCCUGGCUUUCUA